AUUGAACGCUGGCGGCAGGCCUAACACAUGCAAGUCGAACGAGUGGCGGACGGGUGAGUAAUGUCUGGGAAACUGCCUGAUGGAGGGGGAUCACUACUGGAAACGGUAGCUAAUACCGCAUACCAUCGGAUGUGCCCAGAUGGGAUUAGCUAGUAGGUGGGGUAAUGGCUCACCUAGGCGACGAUCCCUAGCUGGUCUGAGAGGAUGACCAGCCACACUGGAACUGAGACACGGUCCAGAUGCGUACGGGAGGCAGCAGUGGGGAAUAUUGCACAAUGGGCGCAAGCCUGAUGCAGCCAUGCCGCGGGUGUGAAGAAGGCCUUCGGGUUGUAAAGCACUGUCAGAGGGGAGGCGUUACCCGCAGAAGAAGCACCGGCUAACUCCGUGCCAGCAGCCGCGGUAAUAC
rnacentral:rRNA from 1 species